rnacentral:piRNA from 1 species
UACACAUGGUGGGGAUCACAACAAC